UACGAAGGGGGCGAGCGUUGUUCGGAUUUACUGGGCGUAAAGGGCGCGUAGGCGGCCACGUAAGUCGAAUGUGAAAGCCCAGGGCUCAACCUUGGAAGUGCAUCCGAAACUGUGUGGCUUGAAUCUCGGAGAGGGUGGUGGAAUUCCCAGUGUAGAGGUGAAAUUCGUAGAUAUUGGGAGGAACACCGGUGGCGAAGGCGACCGCCUGGACGAAGAUUGACGCUGAGGCGCGAGAGCGUGGGGAGCAAACAGG
rnacentral:rRNA from 1 species